rnacentral:rRNA from 1 species
GAUGAACGUUGGCGGCGUGCCUAAUACAUGCAAGUCGAACGAAGACUGUAGUAAUACUGUCUUAGUGGCGAACGGGUGAGUAACGCGUGGGUGACCUGCCCCGAAGUGUGGGAUAACGAGUCCGAAAGGAUUGCUAAUACUGCAUAAUAUCCAAGAGAUUAGAUGCUUUUGGAUUAAAGGAGUAAUUCGCUUCGGGAGGGGCCCGCGUCCCAUCAGCUAGUUGGUAAGGUAAUGGCUUACCAAGGCGAUGACGGGUAGGGGACCUGAGAGGGUGGCCCCCCCACAAUGGAACUGAAACACGGUCCAUACACCUACGGGUGGCAGCAGUAGGGAAUAUUAGUAAUGGGCGAAAGCCUGAACUAGCAACGCCGCGUGUGCGAAGAAGGCCUUCGGGUCGUAAAGCACUUUUUGAGAGGAUGAGGAAGGACGGUACUCUCAGAAUAAGUCUCGGCUAACUACGUG